GGCAGACGGGUGAGUAACGCGUAAGAACUUACCCUAAAGUGGGGGACAACCUCGAGAAAUCGGGGCUAAUACCGCAUACGCUCCGCAAGGAGGAAAGCUUCGGCGCUUUAGGAUGGGCUUGCGCCCGAUUAGCUAGUUGGUGAGGCAAUGGCCCACCAAGGCUCAGAUCGGUAGCUGGUCUGAGAGGAUGAUCAGCCACACUGGAAUUGAGAUACGGUCCAGACUCCUACGGGAGGCAGCAGCAGGGAAUAUUGCGCAAUGGGUGAAAGCCUGACGCAGCAACGCCGCGUGGGGGAUGACGGCUUUCGAGUUGUAAACCCCUUUUCUUGGGGAAGAUAAUGACGGUACCCGAGGAAUAAGUCUCGGCUAACUACGUGCCAGCAGCCGCGGUAAGACGUAGGAGGCGAGCGUUAUCCGGAUUUACUGGGCGUAAAGGGCGUGUAGGCGGUUCUUCAAGUCUUUGGUGAAAUCUCCCGGCUUAACUGGGAGGGUGCCAGAGAUACUAGAGAACUUGAGGGCAACAUAGGAGAGCGGAAUUCC
rnacentral:rRNA from 1 species